rnacentral:piRNA from 1 species
UGAUUAGAUGGAAGUGGUGAUCUGGCCGAG